CAAAAAAAAAAAAAAAAAAAAAAAAGAAAUUUUUAGAAUCAUGGUAGGGAAUUCUGAAAAGAAACAUCCUCAUAUUUCCCAGUUUUCCUAUCAUUAAGGAAAUUAGUAUCAGGUGAAAACUAGAAGUGAAGAUGUUUGGUAUGUUUUAAGGAAGUUGGUCCUCCCUGUUGGUAAAAUAGAAAAGAUGAGUGGCACUUGGUGUGAUAAGCCAGGGUCAAGACUCCAUAGUGCACAUCUUCAUGCACAAGUGCAAACUCAUCAUGGUAAAUGGGGGGAACGUUCUAGAGAGCAAGAGACCAAGUAAAAUGUACAAGGCAAGAGUGCUGUGGAAGCUGAAACAAGGGGGAGGGUGGAUCUGAAACAAGCAGGCAGGGAAGGACUGGGGGGGUCACUGGGGGAAGACAGGCAGGAGCAAGCUGCCAGGUACCACCAACUGCUCUUUGCAGAGGUGCCACAAGUGAAGCUGCCUUGAUGCUACAAGUCUGAUGCCUGACGUGUCUGAGGAGCAUGGCAGAGGAGGUCACUGUGGACGGUACCACAGGGAGGUGGACAGAGCAUACAGUGAAGCAGUGCUUCUCAAACGGUGGGUUGUGACCCCUUUGACAAACCUCUACCUCCAAAAAAUAGUUACAAUUCCUAACAGUAGCAAAAUGACAGUUAUGAAGUAGCAAUGAAAAUAAUUUCAUGGUUGGGGGUCACCACAACAUGAGGAAAUGUAUUAAAGGGUCACAGCGUUAGAAGAGUUGAGAACCACUACAACAUUGGUUGGUGUUUCUUCCCUCCACCCACCCCCAACAAGCUGGGGGCUCAAUCCAGUUUAGCAUCUCAUUAUUCAACCUAUGAAUGUACAACAGAAUGAUUCCUAAAGAGACUUCUCAAUAAGGCACCACCCCAGUUGAGAAAAUAUUAGGAAAUGAUGGCUGCUGAUGGGCUGCCCAUGCUCUACCUAUACACACACAGGCAUUUAGCUAACCCCCAACACCAAGGCUAGUCUAACAAGUUAAUUUAUGAAAGUCAAGUCAUCAAGGAAGGCAAAUGAGUGUAAAAAAAAAAAAAAACUUUGACAAGAAAUUUCACUUGACCCAGGUGAUCUUAAAAGUUUAUUUCAAGCCUUCCUGGGGGUAAAGAAAAUUCCAAAGGCAUUAUAACUGGGGUCAGAAGACGACAUGUUGAUUGUUUUUGACAGAGGUAUUACUGGUGUAGGAUAAAAGGGCCAGCCAAAGAAACACACCCUGACCUGAAACCAGAGCCAAAGAAACACAACCUGCCCCUGAGAUCAGAGCCAAUUCACUGCCCCCCCUGAAACUAGAGCCAAAAGGUUAAAAAGGGCCAGUGAAAGAAACACACUUUGACUCUGAAACCAGAGCCAAAGAAACACACUCUACCCCUGAACAAUUCAGCAUGAAAACCAACCAAUUCCUGAGCAUGAAAUCCAAUGCAUUUCUGAGCUUGUCCAAGCUCAGGGAUUGAAAUCCUAUCAAUCCCCACCCCGAAAAUCUUCACCCUGGAAAAACUCUGCCCCUAAGAAGACAUAUAUAAGCUUUGUACCCAUUCAGUUAGAAGCUGCCUUUUCUCACCCUGCAGAGGCAGCCAGCCACUCUCCUGGAUUCCUCCCUCCCAACAAAUCUCUUGAAUGAGGUUUGAGUGAUGACCUUCCUUUGCUGGAGUAGACUGAGGCAGAGAAGUAACAACUUUGGUAGGAGCAGGAGCUGAACUACUACAUUUCUGUGGGGAAAUUUCCUUAGCAGAGUGGAGUAGAGAUGUAAUGGCUCUUGCAGAGAGAAGCAGAACUGCUACAUUCCUGUGGGGGAACUCUCCCUCACCAGAACAGAGCUGUAAGUAUAGCCUGGCUUCCCACAGCCAGGAUACCUUUCCAUUCCGAGCUAUAGGUAAUAGCCUGGCUUCUGACGGCCAGGAUAGCUUUCUCUUCAGAGCUGCAACACUUACAAGUACAGCCUGGCUCCUGACGGCCAGGAAACCUUUCUCUUCAGAGCUCUAACACUUACAAGUACAGCCUGGCCUCUGACGGCCAGGAUAGCUUUCUCUUCAGAGCUCUAACACUUACAAGUACAGCCUGGCUCCUGACGGCCAAGAUAGCUUUCUCUUCAGAGCUGUAACACUUACAGGUAUAGCUUGGCUUCCAAUGGUCAGGACAGGUUUCUCUUCAGAGUUGUAACACAGGUAUAGCCUGGCUUCUGACAGCCAGGAUACCUUUCCAUUCUGAGCUAUAGGUAUAGUCCGGCUUCUCCAGGAAACCUUCCUCUUCAGAGCUGUAACACAAGUAUAGCCUGGCUUCCAACGGCCAAGAAAACUUUCUCUUCAGAGCUGUAACACUGACAGGUAUAGCCUGGCUUCCUACAGCCA